rnacentral:rRNA from 1 species
GUCCACGCUGUAAACGAUGUACGUUCGCUGCUAGAGAGUAUCGACCCUCUUUAGUAGCUAAGCUAACGCGUUAAACGUACCGCCUGGGGAGUACGGUCGCAAGACUAAAACUCAAAGGAAUUGACGGGGACCCCGCACAAGCGGUGGAGCAUGUGGUUUAAUUCGACGAUAAGCGAGGAACCUUACCAAGGCUUGACAUGUAGCUGCAUCACUCAGAAAUGAGUGCGCCUUCGAGGGUGCUACACAGGUGCUGCACGGUUGUCGU